rnacentral:sRNA from 21 species
GUCAACGACCCCCGCCUGAAGGCGGGAGCUUGUGAAAGCAAGCUCCGACGUUGACCAGACCACGCCCCGAGAGGGGCAGCGUUACCGUGGAAUCCGACGCGAGUCGGUGUAAUAGGCACUCCGGGAUGCUUCCUCAGUCCCGGACACUGCG